rnacentral:lncRNA from 1 species
ACCUGGCUUGCAUACUGACUUGGACUACAGCCCCUCUGGAAAAUUCUGAUCCGGUGCUCACAGGGACCUUGUUGCCUUCAGUCUCCAGAUAAAUUAAGUGCGGUCUUGUGUAAUGAAUGAGGACAGAGCUGGACAGAGAGAAACAAGGAGAAAGAACAUUUGAAAAUGUUGGGGGACUUUCAAGUUCACAGUGGAAGAAAGAUUGGAGCUUCAUCCAUGGGCGUGAAAGAGGGUGUUUCUGGUGGAAACAAUUGCUAGAAUGAAUUCAGAGGAGAUACUGGUCUCGUGCAGUGGAACUGUGGUAGAAGAGCUUACCAGGAGUGAUCCUGAAAGAUAUUAAGUGUGAAUGAAUGCACAAUGAGGUCGUGAGGAGCUAGAUUUUUCUGUCCCAGAAAGAAGGCAGAGUUCCCCUCAAACUUUCCCACCUACCUAUAACUUGUAACAACAUAGCCAGGCCUGGUGGUGCUGCCCUGCUAUCUCACCUACCCAGAAGCUGAGGCAGGAGGAUUGCAACAUCAAGGUCUGAAUGCACAGUGCAGUAAGUUUAAGAACAUCCCAGGAAACUUAGUGAGGAACCUGCUUCAAGAUUAAAAAGUCAAAAAGAGACUAAGUUUUGCAUUAUUUUCAUUUCCCCUUACAUCAUCUGGAAUAUGGUGAGAAAUGCAGUGAACUCUGAUCUCUGGACAUGGGGAACACCGACCUCUGGACAUGGCAUGGGUAUUGUUCUUAUAAAUUCACAGCAGCUGUAGUUAGUCGCACAAGACCCACAUAAGAAGAGUCUAGUCAAAAGUUCAGAAUAGUGGAAGAGAGGAACUCAUGAGCCCAGAUCUUUGUCCUGUUCGUUCUGAGAUUGCUGAACACAUAUGCUGUGUGACUAACUGCUCUCCAGUCCCUGCUGCUAUGCCUUCCCUUCAAUGAUGGAGUGUAUCUCCCAAAAGUGUAAGUCAGAAUAAA